AAAUCGUUCCGUAGGUGAACCUGCGGAAGGAUCAUUAUCGAAAUAGCUCGCCGGCAGUCCCCCAAAAAGGGCUGCCAAACAGCGUUAUCACCCUCCCCUUUUGUAGGACCGUUUCGUUUCCUCGGGUUUGCCCGCCAGCGAGGACCCCAUUAUUAUUGUAUGCCAACUAUUCUUUUUCGUCUGUCUGAAAAAAAUCAAUAAUCA
rnacentral:misc_RNA from 1 species